GCCACCGUAGCUCAGUCGGUGGAGCGCGUGCUUGGUAAGCACGAGGUCCCGGGUCCGAUUCCCGGCGGUGGCU
rnacentral:tRNA from 3 species